GAUGAACGCUGGCGGCGUGCCUAAUACAUGCAAGUCGAACGCACAGCGAAAGGUGCUUGCACCUUUCAAGUGAGUGGCGAACGGGUGAGUAACACGUGGACAACCUGCCUCAAGGCUGGGGAUAACAUUUGGAAACAGAUGCUAAUACCGAAUAAAACUCAGUGUCGCAUGACACAAAGUUAAAAGGCGCUUUGGCGUCACCUAGAGAUGGAUCCGGUCGGG
rnacentral:rRNA from 1 species